rnacentral:rRNA from 1 species
UCGCGUUUUCGGAGCGGCCGAUAUCGGAUUAGCUAGUAGGUGAGGUAAAGGCUCACCUAGGCGACGAUCCGUAGCUGGUCUGAGAGGACGACCAGCCACACUGGAACUGAGACACGGUCCAGACUCCUACGGGAGGCAGCAGUGGGGAAUUUUGGACAAUGGGCGAAAGCCUGAUCCAGCCAUGCCGCGUGAGUGAAGAAGGCCUUCGGGUUGUAAAGCUCUUUCAGCCGGAAAGAAAACGCAUGGGUUAAUAACCUGUGUGGAUGACGGUACCGGAAGAAGAAGCACCGGCUAACUACGUGCCAGCAGCCGCGGUAAUACGUAGGGUGCGAGCGUUAAUCGGAAUUACUGGGCGUAAAGCGUGCGCAGGCGGUUUUGUAAGACAGAUGUGAAAUCCCCGGGCUUAACCUGGGAACUGCAUUUGUGACUGCAAGGCUAGAGUACGGCAGAGGGGGGUAGAAUUCCACGUGUAGCAGUGAAAUGCGUAGAUAUGUGGAGGAAUACCGAUGGCGAAGGCAGCCCCUUGGGUCGAUACUGACGCUCAUGCACGAAAGCGGGGGGAGCAAACAGGAUUAGAUACCCUGGUAGUCCACGCCCUAAACGAUGUCAACUAGGUGUUGGGGGAGGAGACUUCCUUAG